rnacentral:rRNA from 1 species
AACAUCGGAACGUGCCCAAUCGUGGGGGAUAACGCAGCGAAAGCUGUGCUAAUACCGCAUACGAUCUACGGAUGAAAGCAGGGGAUCGCAAGACCUUGCGCGAAUGGAGCGGCCGAUGGCAGAUUAGGUAGUUGGUGAGGUAAAGGCUCACCAAGCCUUCGAUCUGUAGCUGGUCUGAGAGGACGACCAGCCACACUGGGACUGAGACACGGCCCAGACUCCUACGGGAGGCAGCAGGC